UGUGAAUUUGGGCAAACUCGGGGAGAUAGUGAAGGAUAGAGGAGCCUAGCGUGCUACAGUCCAUUGAGUCGCAAAGAAUCGCACACAACUUCGCGACUGAACAACAACAACGGAGGGCCUAUGAGGCGAGGGGCGAAGGCCGGAGGGAGGCGGGCCCUGGAGGAGGCGAAGAGGGGCUAAGACCCCAGCUUGGGUUUGUGUGAGAGUUCAGUGUCACAAGUGUAGGCGAUGCGAGGAGGAAGCCGUACCUGUAGGGGCAUGGCCGCAUCUAAGUGGACCGGAGCCUUGCCUAAAGGGCGGGGUCUGCGACCAGGGUUGUGGAAUGGAAGUCUUAAGUGUGAUUCCAAACCUCCUUAGAAUCUGAUCCCUCACUUGGGCAGUUCCGAUCUGCCCAGUCCCAUCUGGUCCCAGGUCCUGAGUUGCUCCUGGGUGGUGUACCCUAGGUGCCAAGGUUAAGAGAUUGAGGGCUCUUGCAGAGGGCAAGAGGCACUCCAGGAACAUCGUGGGAUCACACUGCCUGUCACACCCUCCCAGGACCCUGAGCCCCAAAACAACCCAGCCUUGGGACCCUAGCCUGCCCAGUCUUCAGAGAUGUGAUACCAGCCAAGCUUUCAGUCCACAGAGUUUCUGGCCCAAAAUAUGAACUCGUCAGUAUAUCAACCUGGAAACAUGGGGCACAGAGCUUCCUGUUGGAAAUGAGCACAUCUUGUCCUCCAUCUUUCAGCCCCGAAACUUGGGAUGCACAGCUUCUGGCCUGAAAUAUGAACUCUUCUCCAUUUAAUAUGAAAUAUGAACUCUUUUACCAUUUAAAAUUAAGGAUGAGGUUUUAAUUGACUUUUUAUUUGUCGAGCUAGAUGUUUACUCUAGGAGCUGAAGUUCAAUUAGAAGUUCAGUUGCCUUAGUGGCAAUUAGUGUCUCCCCAGAAGUGAAGCCUGAGAUUUUGGAACAGAGGCUAAGGGGAGAGGGACCAUCAGGUGGGAUUCCAGAGGAUGGAGCCUUCCUCAGACACAGCUGCUUAGGACACACCUGACUCAGUGUAAGCUCAGAGCUUAGAAAAAUCAGGUUGACACUUCAGAACGCUAGGUUUCUUUAAGGUCAGGAUUUUGGCUUUGGAAUUUAAAAUGUAGCAUUGUGAUGAUAUUUAUGUUAAAAACAUUUUCAGAUAAUACAGAAGAGUAUAAAGCAAAAGUUAAACAUCCUUCUCCCCUAACACCUAUCCCCUCAUUUAAAUG